rnacentral:rRNA from 1 species
AGUGAACGCUGGCGGUAGGCCUAACACAUGCAAGUCGAACGGCAGCACAGUAAGAGCUUGCUCUUACGGGUGGCGAGUGGCGGACGGGUGAGGAAUACAUCGGAAUCUACUUUUUCGUGGGGGAUAACGUAGGGAAACUUACGCUAAUACCGCAUACGACCUACGGGUGAAAGCAUGGGAUCUUCUGACCUUGCGCGAUUGAAUGAGCCGAUGUCGGAUUAGCUAGUUGGCGGGGUAAAGGCCCACCAAGGCGACGAUCCGUAGCUGGUCUGAGAGGAUGAUCAGCCACACUGGAACUGAGACACGGUCCAGACUCCUACGGGAGGCAGCAGUGGGGAAUAUUGGACAAAGGGCGCAAGCCUGAUCCAGCCAUACCGCGUGGGUGAAGAAGGCCUUCGGGUUGUAAAGCCCUUUUGUUGGGAAAGAAAAGCAGCAGGUUAAUACCCCGCUGUUCUGACGGUACCCACAGAAUAAGCACCGGCUAACUUCGUG